GCAGAUAGUGGUUCCUGGUGCCUUCAAGGUUGUGCGUCUGAAGCCUAAAAUAAAGUCUGCCUACCUGGGGGUGGCUGGUUCAUGAGGUUGGCUGGAAGUACCAGGCAGUGACAGCUACCUGGAGGAGAAGAGGAAGGAGAAGGCCAAGAUCCACUACCAAAAGUAAAAACAGGCCAUGAGGCUGCAGAAACAGGUGGAAGAGAACGUGGAGAAGAAAACUGAUAAAUACAGAGUUCCUCAAGACCAUGGGCUCCUGGU
rnacentral:lncRNA from 1 species